CAGUCGCCGCGGGAAUACGAAGGGGGCUAGCGUUGUUCGGAAUUACUGGGCGUAAAGCGCACGUAGGCGGAUACUUAAGUCAGGGGUGAAAUCCCGGGGCUCAACCCCGGAACUGCCUUUGAUACUGGGUAUCUCGAGUCCGGAAGAGGUGAGUGGAAUUCCGAGUGUAGAGGUGAAAUUCGUAGAUAUUCGGAGGAACACCAGUGGCGAAGGCGGCUCACUGGUCCGGUACUGACGCUGAGGUGCGAAAGCGUGGGGAGCAAACAGGAUUAGAUACCCCUGUAGUCCCUGUCUCUUAUAC
rnacentral:rRNA from 1 species